rnacentral:lncRNA from 1 species
CUGGACAGAAGGUGAAGCUGGGUUAUGCUGCAGGCAGCAAAGCCUCAGUCGGUUAGGUAGGAGCUCCAGGGUGAGGGUUCAGCAGAGCUGACCUGUGGCUGGACAUUCAUGCCAACCCCUUCUCACUGAGUGAAGUGGCCUGCUCCAGGAAAGGUAUGACCUGGGUCCUGGUGGCUCUCUGCAACUGAGGUGUACCCUCAGUACACCUCAGGGUCAAUAGCGGAGGCUCUCCACUGACCACAUUCCCCACAACCAGGCAGCAAAUCCUUCUUGAAGGAUUUGGGUAGUUCUCUGCUACACCGAUCUCUUUGCUACAAGUUUGUUUAGGAGUUUUCACUAAUAUGUUAUGGCCAGAAAUUAGAUUAGGCACAAGGAUUGAAAAAAAAAAAGAUAUGAGAUUUUUAGAAUCAAAGUGAAUUCAUUAGUUCACAUCCUGGACCUUUCAUUUAUCUGGUUUUCAUCAGAUUAAUUAAUGUUUCUGUGCUUGGGAUUUUUUAUUUUAAAAAAUUGGGGAUAAUUACUGCUGAUUACAAGCUGCACUGCCUUUUUUAAGUUACUGUAAUUAUUAACUUCUGGGAACUCCUUUCUUUUAUAAAAGCACAGAGGUAUAACAAUAGUAGUAUCUAAUAUCACAGGAUUGUUUUAAAGAUUAAAUGAGCUGCUCCAUUUAAAGUAUGUCUUCUGGAAAAAAAAGGUGAGUUCUCCAUAAAUAUUAGUAAUGAUUAUUAUUUUUAUUAUACACACAUAAUAUGAUUAUGUAGUCUAUAUAACAGAACUUCCAAAGACUAUUAGAAACUAUUAUUAAGGUUGCUGAAUGGAAAAAUCAACAUGUAAAAAUCAAUAUACAUCACCAAUAAACAUUUAAAGCAUGUAUCUUUCUAAAUUUCUCAUUAACAAUUGCAACAAAAAACAAUAAUAAUCCUGGGAAUAAAUCUCAAAACAGCUAAACAAGAUCUUUAUAGAAAAAAAUUCAUAGCAUCAUUGAAGCACAUAAAAGAAGAACUAGAUAAAUGGAGUAUAUGGAUAGAAAGGUUCUAUCAUAAAAAUGACAGUUCUCUCAGAUUAAGCUGUAAAAUCAGUUUAUUUCCCAUUCCCAGAGAAUGUAUGUCAAAAGCCUUGGAGGAAAGAGACAUCAUAUCCAAAGGGACUAAGUAAAGAGAUAUACCAGGGUUAAAAAAGGAAUCCAGCACCUCCAUCACCUCUGCCACAUCAAAUACAGAAAAGGGAGGGAAUGCAGUUACAGAAAUCCAGGUAGAAUGGAAUUAGAAAUAGAGGAACUGUGGUAUUGAACAUAUGCAUCCACCACAACUGCUAAGGGCAGCAAGGGAGAGAGAGAAGAAUGAAUCCCCUUACCAUUCUGUCUCCUCUCUACCACAGUCUUCCACUGGCUGAAUCCAGCUAGAAGUCAGAAGCUAAAGAAGUGCAGGGAUGCAGCUCCAUGGAAAACAGGUCUAAAGUAUGAUAUGUCAUGAGCUUUGUAAUGUUUUGAACAACCAAUAAAAAAAAGAAAAAAAAACCUUUAAAAGAGAAGGCUGUAUACAUGAAAAUAUUUUCAAUGCAUGUAAGUGACAAAGAAUACUCAGAAAAUGCAAAAACAUUCUUAAUCCAUUUUAAAAAUCCAAACUAAGAGGAAAAAAGAACACGUCCUUAAAGACAAUUUGCAAAAGAGGAGACUUCAAUGAAAAGACAAAUCCUUAUAUACGUGAAAAGAUGCUCAUAGAACCACUGAGAGAAAUGAGACUAAAUAUCAAUAAUGUAUUCAAACCCACAUGUGCAAAGAAGUUUGAUGAUGCUUCAUACAUGGCUGAGGAUCAUGUAAACUGGUGCAACCAUUAACAGAAUAAUACCAAGGUAUCUCUUAAAUAUCUGCUGAAGAUAGAAAUUGUUCUCUGAACACCACUACCACAUUUCACAGUUUUACUAAAUACUGAAGUAUCUAAAACCAAAUAUUGUUGGUAAAAGUGAUAUAUCUUUUACACAUUCAAAUUUCCUUUGCAACUUUUUUCACUCAAAUUAUGCUUCAUAGAUUGACCUCUGUUGACACAUGUUAGUUUUGAGUUAUUUAUUUAAACUUUUAUAUAGCAUCCAAAAAAAAAACCCAUAAUGAAUGAUUAUUUGAACUUUUCAAAUUAACACAAAUGACAUUGUCAUAAACACAUGACUCCUGGUACCCACAUAUGAACAGUUUUUCUAGAAGUAAAAUUGCUGAAUACCUCAAGAAAUAUAACAUAUACUUCGUAGACUAUAUAGAUAUGAAAAAGAUAUCUGAGAAAAUUUAUAGUAUCUUACAAACAUAAAACCAUACUUGGUCAUUUAAAGCUAUAAUUUGACUUUAAUGAUUCUAAAUUAAAUUGAAUUAAAAACUUACUAUUUUUUAGGGAAUCUCUUUACUACCUUUCAUCUACCUAACCACCAUACUACUAGGAAAUUAUAUAUCUACACUUUGCACAUUAAAAACCAACAUUCAAACACAUCAGGCAAUCUACUAGUAGGGAUUUCAACACAGGUCAAUAUGGCUCAGAGUCUGAGCAUUUUCUGGCUACCACUUGUCUCCCAUUCUUCUAAGAGCAAAGCUGAAUCUUCUUGUUUAAAACUAAUUUUGACACAACCAGAAGAAUGAGAAGUUAUACUCCAUUUAUGUAUGAUGUGCCAAAAUGCAUUCUACUGCCAUGUAUAACUAAUUAGAACAAAUAAAUAAAUAAAAUUAAUAUUGAAGUUUUUUAUAUAACAAAAAUGUUAAUAAAGUAUUAUAGUUUACUCUUAUAAAGUAUAAAAUAUAUAGAUAUUUAAGUAAAAUUUAACAUUCCAGGUAUCAAGAAAGAACCAAAGAACAUUAUAGAUCCAAAGACUCUGUCCUUCCCAGCACCCACAUGGUGAAGUACACCCACAUGGUCAAAGUCACACACAGCCAUUAAGUAAAUAACCAAGACUUUGCAAUGGACUGAGUUCAUAGUCCAUCAUCAACAAGAUAGUGAUUGCCAUGAAAAAAUAAGAGGGAAGAGAGGGAGGUUACUGUUUCUUCUUCAUGAAAACACACAUGAAUAAAACUUAGCAAUAUGAAAUGUUUUCUGUUAUUUAUUCAUGAGUUAGUGAGGUUGAUAAAUAAUUUCUUUAAAACAAUUUAUUUGCAUGUAUUCUAUCUCACACCGUUUAAAUACAAAAUUUUCAAAGGAAUUUUCAUAUGAUUACCAUACAGUAUAACUUAGCACAGAGGACUGUUUUCACAUCAUUUUUUCAAUAUUUAUAAUUUUUAUUGAAGACAUAAGUAAAAGAAAAAGCAUCUGCGAACUCUUAUUGGACCUGGAAGACCUGGAUUGUGAGACAGAAGUCACAACUUCAUAGAUGCCAGAGUUUCAUAGUCUGAUGAAUACAGCUCUUGACUGCCUCAAGUUAAUUCUUUGUAGACACACUGAUGCCAUUAAAGUAAUGAAUAAUUUGGAGAAUGCCUUGCUUCUACUUAUUGCAGAUCUUACCUGGAAUGUAUAACCUAUGUAACCCAUGACCAAUCAACAACCUGCACUACUCACCAAUGCCAUGGUAACAAUGGGUUUGCUGUCAAUUACUUCUUAUUCUAUAUCUACAAAACCAGACCCCUCUAAAGACAUUUCAGAGAAUAUGUUCCACAAAACUGGAAUUCAUGAUUCCUGGGUGGCCAUCCUCACUCACUUUCUCUUCAAUAAACUCUUUGUUCUUACUUGCCUUUUAGGUUGCCGUAUCAUAAAUAUAGAAAGAUAUGAAAAUAUAGAGAAAGGUACCAAAAAAGAGCUUCCCACAAUAAAACUAUUCAAAUUUAACAGAAAUUAACAUUCAAGUUUUGCUUAUUUUUUAAUUCAAGAAACAUUUAUAUUUAUGAUGAAAAUAAUUCAUACUCAUAAAAGAGUAUUUGAAAAAAUUAAUAAAAGUAGGAUAAGAAACUAUAGUCUAUGCCAUCUAUUGACAUUUAAAAAUAUUUGCUUUUCUUUGUAAAGAAAUACUUCUUUUUGUUUUUUGAGCUCGUUGAGUCAUGUAUGAAAAAAAAAAAACUAACACCUUUUGCAUAAUUUUUAACAAUUCCUGCAAAUUGACAAAUCUAGUUCAUUCUCACAACAAAACCCAACAUAAUAGCAUCUAUCACUUGUUUUGAAGAUUCAUUUUCUUUAUCACAAAUGUCAUGAAGAUCAAAUCCAUAAAUCUAAGAAUUUUACCUUUCAUACUUGCCAUUCAAUAUCUUAAUACUAGAAUCUGUCAAAAAUUUCCCCCUUCUAAUUCCUCUGACAUUGUUCAUGGUACAAAAUCUCUCUUCCAUGUGGUAGUUACUGAAUGAAUAUUUAUUUAUCCAUUUAUUCAUUAAACAUUUUUUAAAAUAAGACAUACAAGUUUAAGAGAUUUCAUAAAAGAUUAAGUUUAAAAGUAAUCUACAUAUAAGCUACAUUAUUUCAUUAAGAAACGAAGGUAGCUGGCAAGAGCUUCUGUAUACAUUAUGUUAAUUAUUAAAGGAUCAAUCGUUUCACACUGAGUCUGGUUCAUAACUUUCAGCUCUAUUAAAGCAAAAUUGCUAAGAAAUAUCAAAGGAAAUAUAGCUCUAAGUGGAAAAUAAUUUGUCUCUAAUUGAUUAAAAUUUGAAUUUGGGAGAGAUUAACAAAACCAGAAUCCAAACUUGUGCAAGUAUACAGGCAAUUUAACUUUAUUAAAACCUCAAUACAGGAACUGAUUUGGGACUGAAUAAUUAAGAAUAACUAACACCAUGCUUCAGUAGCAUAUAAAUAAACUUUUCUGCAUUACAUGAUUAAAAUCAAUCUCAAGUAAAAUUUUAAUUGAAAUAAUUUUUUUAAAAUUUACCUAUAAUUCUACCACUCUAAAAAUUAAUAUAAUGAUAAAAAUAUAUACAUUUUAUUAUACUCUACCACUACUUAGAUGUGUUGAAUUUAAAAAGCCUCAUACGCAGUUCUGAAGUAUCAUCAUCAUAAGCUAGGAUAAAUAAACUGAGAAAUAAAUGAAUAGUGUCUCUUUGCUUUCAACUGUAUUCUUUAGAAAUUCACUAAUGAAAUUAUCAAUUCCUACAAAUCCCACUUUUUUCAAAUGUUCAUAACUAUUAGUAUUUCUUAGCCUGUGUAUUUUAUACAAAAUUCUCCCCAGAUUUUUCUUCUACUUCUUCUUUUGCUAACAGUCUUACUUAUUGGUUGAGCCCUUCUUUAGAGAUCCCAACCUCCAUACAUGCACACAUUUCAUUCCUUAAUAUACCAAACAUUCUAUACCUGUCCCUUAUGUCUGGCACACCCCCAUAACCCAUAUCAUACUUCCUCCAACUGUGUAUGACUCCUGCAUAAUUUCCAAGCUUCUCUCAACAAUAGGGCCUUCAGAACCUUCCAUGUGUUCUCCUAGUAGAAAAAUUUUACAUUCUCUGAUCACCAAAUCAACUAUUUUUUUUCUUUUAAAUAUAAAUUCAAAUGUCACUUCCUAAAAUAAGAGUUGUCUGAAGCUCUGUGGACAAGUCAAAUUCCCUACAGCAGGCGUCCCCAUCAGUGUGUACUGUCCUUCACCAUACUCACUCUUGCUUCUGUGUAUUAGUUCAUGUGAUUAUUUAAUUAAUUGCACAGAAAUAAAAAGUUCCAAAGUAGCAGAAAUCGGGAUAGAUUUCCUACUCAUCAUUAUGUCACCAAGGCCAAGCUGAUUGCUAGGCACAGAAUGGGCUGCCAAUAAAUAUAUAUUAAAAGAGAGCAAAAAAGAAAGGAAAGAGGGAGGGAAAUUAAUCAUUAGAUCAACAGAUGAUCUUAUUAUUACUAAAAAAAAUUUAUGUGGUCUCAUUUGUGACCUGAAAGAUAAUCAAUUUGUAAAUUAAAUACCCUUAAUAAAUAAAUAAAUAGAUAAAUAAAUAAAAGUCAUUUUAGCUUCUUCCCCAUUAAUUCUCUCACUAUAGGUAGAUACGGCUUAUAGUUGUAAUCCUGAUUCUUUUCUUUUUUUCAUCUUCUUCCAGAGGAAGAAAAGCCAAUUUAUAUAUCUUGCUUCCUUCGAAUCAGAGGUUGAACUAAGAAACCAUGGGAAAACAGUAAAGGAUGACCUCAAGAAAUAAGUUGAGGUACUGAGUGAAGUGAAAUCCAGAAAGAACAUAAACCAGUACAAGCUUAUGGAAUGUCAUUGACCAUCAGUAGCAGUGGAGGCACCGUCCCGCCUGGACUUCUCAGGAGCUACAGAAUGCCUCCCAGAACUGUCCACCCAUUCCCACUGGCUGAGGCGCUUCUUGAGUAGGGUUAACUCCUCCCCAUUUACAGACUGCAUGGACCUUUACUAGUAACCACAUGUUAGCAAAAUCGCAGAGUGGAAAGUGGAAGAUACUCCACACAAGUCUGAGCUGUGAAAAAGCCCCCCACAACUGAGACAGAGCCUGUCUGCAAUGUCAGCCAGAAUCAGAAGUGAGGCAGAGGAUGUGAGGGAGUGCCCGGGAAGCCUGUGGCAUACCCUGUGGGAAUAGAAGCAUUACUCACCGCACACAGGGCCAGUCUCAGACAAUGAACUAGCAGUGCUGAAAGAAAUAGUUGACCACUUUCCCUCAGGUUCAACGAAUCUUCUAGAAUACUUUGGGACACUGAAUCAGGAAGGAAAAGAGUCCAUUCCGGGCAUUUUCCAACUGCUGAUUGUAUCUCCAGAAGCCAGUGGUUUCUAAUAAUGCUGUCUGGAACAGGUAAUCACUUAACAAAAGCAUUAUAUAUAUUAGUUCACCUUGAGGAUCAUCUAUCACUAGGCAGAAUAUCAAAAAUUCCAAUCCAAUCUACAGAAAUAUAGUUAAUUUAUACCUUAUGUACCUAACAGUAUUCCUCAGGUAGGAUCUGGAUUAAUUAUGAUUCUGUGAGUUGGUCUAAGAAUAUAUUCUGAGUUUUAUCCAUAUACCAAUAAGUAAAGAGAUCAGUAAGCUACUAGCUUGUCUUUUGUUGACAAAGAAUUCAAAUUUACUCGUUGUUUGAAUCAUUAACCUUCACUGUCCUUAAGAUCUACCUCAAAAAACAAAACAGAACAACAACAACAAAAGUGUUUAAAUACCAAAUGGCACAUAAUAUAAUGCUUAGUAGAAUCUGGCCUCUUUUUGUAACAAUGUUUUUCAAAAAUCAAAUGGGCUUGGAGUUAGCUGUAUUGCCUAGAAACUAUAGGUUGAGGCUACUAACUCUACUUUUAUUAGAGUGAGCCUGCAUCCUUGUACAUCUACAUUUAUAAUCAGUUAUAAAUAGUGACCCAUUUCAAUUGACAGUUUUGGUAAAGUAAGCCACAGUAGACCAAUACCACUACCAAGAACAACUAUAAGAGAUGGGUCUGAGGGGGAAAUUCUAAUAAGAACAAACAGAGUAUAUGAGUCAGCUUUCCAUUACUGUAACAAAUGCCUGAGAUACUCACCAUGUGAAUAGCACAGGUUUAUUUCGGCUCACAGUUUUGGAGUUUUAGUGCAUGAUCAGUUGGUCAGUGGCAGCACAGCACUCAUGGUGGGGAACAUGUUGGCAGAGCAAAACCACUCAUCUUAUGACCAGGAAACAGAGACGAAGAGGAAGAGGUGGGGAUCUCACUCUCCCCUUCAAGGACAAGCCCCUAGAACCUGAAGACCUCCCUCUUGGCCCUAACUCUGAAGUUCCCACCACUUCCCAGUAGCACCAACAGGGUACCAAGCCUUUAAAACAUAGGCCUACCCAAGAACCAAAUCAUAACAGAGAGCUUCUGAACACAUCCCGACCAGAAGCGUCACAAUUUCAGAUAGAUUAAGUAUCAGAGAGGUAAGCUGACUUUUAAGGGUGUUUUCCUUCCCCUAGGGGUAAAGAGUAAAGGUAAUUGCCAAUCUGGAAACACAGCAAGAUCUUCAGAAUAUGGGCUUUGCUUUAGCAGAGGACUACUGCUAUGAAAUAAAG